GACGAACGCUGGCGGCGUGCUUAACACAUGCAAGUCGAACGGUGAAGGGACCAGCUUGCUGGUUCUGGAUGAGUGGCGAACGGGUGAGUAACACGUGAGUAACCUGCCCCCUUCUUCUGGAUAACCGCAUGAAAGUGUGGCUAAUACGGGAUAUUCUGGGUCUGUCGCAUGGCGGGCCCGGGAAAGAUAUUGCUUCGGUGGGGGAUGGGCUCGCGGCCUAUCAGCUUGUUGGUGGGGUGAUGGCCUACCAAGGCGGUGACGGGUAGCCGGCCUGAGAGGGUGGACGGUCACACUGGGACUGAGACACGGCCCAGACUCCUACGGGAGGCAGCAGUGGGGAAUAUUGCACAAUGGGCGCAAGCCUGAUGCAGCGACGACGCGUGAGGGAUGGAGGCCUUCGGGUUGUAAACCUCUUUCGCCAGUGAAGCAGGCCUGCUCCUUGUGGGUGGGUUGACGGUAGCUGGAUAAGAAGCGCCGGCUAACUACGUG
rnacentral:rRNA from 1 species